AGAGAGGAUCACAGGGCCAAUUUCUCAUGCCUCGCGGAGCUUGACCUGCGGCCACACGGCUUGGGACUGUUUGCAAACAGCUCAGCCCCCAGACAGCUCCGCACGUUUGCCAUGCCUCCACUUUCCCCGAGCCUUAUUGCCCCACGAUUCUUAGAAGUGGGCUCAGAAAGGCCGGUGACUUGCACUUUGGAUGGACUGUUUCCUGCCCCAGAAGCCGGGGUUUACCU
rnacentral:lncRNA from 1 species